GACGAACGCUGGCGGCGUGCUUAACACAUGCAAGUCGAACGGAAAGGCCCUGCUUUUGUGGGGUGCUCGAGUGGCGAACGGGUGAGUAACACGUGAGUAACCUGCCCUUGACUUUGGGAUAACUUCAGGAAACUGGGGCUAAUACCGGAUAGGAGCUCCUGCUGCAUGGUGGGGGUUGGAAAGUUUCGGCGGUUGGGGAUGGACUCGCGGCUUAUCAGCUUGUUGGUGGGGUAGUGGCUUACCAAGGCUUUGACGGGUAGCCGGCCUGAGAGGGUGACCGGCCACAUUGGGACUGAGAUACGGCCCAGACUCCUACGGGAGGCAGCAGUGGGGAAUAUUGCACAAUGGGCGGAAGCCUGAUGCAGCAACGCCGCGUGCGGGAUGACGGCCUUCGGGUUGUAAACCGCUUUCGCCUGUGACGAAGCGUGAGUGACGGUAAUGGGUAAAGAAGCACCGGCUAACUACGUGCCAGCAGCCGCGGUGAUACGUAGGGUGCGAGCGUUGUCCGGAUUUAUUGGGCGUAAAGGGCUCGUAGGUGGUUGAUCGCGUCGGAAGUGUAAUCUUGGGGCUUAACCCUGAGCGUGCUUUCGAUACGGGUUGACUUGAGGAAGGUAGGGGAGAAUGGAAUUCCUGGUGGAGCGGUGGAAUGCGCAGAUAUCAGGAGGAACACCAGUGGCGAAGGCGGUUCUCUGGGCCUUUCCUGAGGCUGAGGAGCGAAAGCGUGGGGAGCGAACAGGCUUAGAUACCCUGGUAGUCCACGCUGUAAACGGUGGGUACUAGGUGUGGGGUCCAUUCCACGGGUUCCGUGCCGUAGCUAACGCUUUAAGUACCCCGCCUGGGGAGUACGGCCGCAAGGCUAAAACUCAAAGGAAUUGACGGGGCCCCGCACAAGCGGCGGAGCAUGCGGAUUAAUUCGAUGCAACGCGUAGAACCUUACCUGGGUUUGACAUGGAUCGGGAGUGCUCAGAGAUGGGUGUGCCUCUUUUGGGGUCGGUUCACAGGUGGUGCAUGGCUGUCGUCAGCUCGUGUCGUGAGAUGUUGGGUUAAGUCCCGCAACGAGCGCAACCCUUGUUCACUGUUGCCAGCACGUUAUGGUGGGGACUCAGUGGAGACCGCCGGGGUCAACUCGGAGGAAGGUGGGGAUGACGUCAAGUCAUCAUGCCCCUUAUGUCCAGGGCUUCACGCAUGCUACAAUGGCUGGUACAGAGAGUGGCGAGCCUGUGAGGGUGAGCGAAUCUCGGAAAGUCGGUCUCAGUUCGGAUUGGGGUCUGCAACUCGACCUCAUGAAGUCGGAGUCGCUAGUAAUCGCAGAUCAGCAACGCUGCGGUGAAUACGUUCCCGGGGCU
rnacentral:rRNA from 1 species